rnacentral:rRNA from 1 species
CCUACGGGCGGCAGCAGUGAGGAAUAUUGGUCAAUGGCCGGAAGGCUGAACCAGCCAAGCCGCGUGAGGGAGGAAGGCGCAGAGCGUCGCAGACCUCUUUUGCCGGGGGACAAAAGGCCGGACUCGUCCGGUCCUGAGGGUACCCGGAGAAAAAGCAUCGGCUAACUCCGUGCCAGCAGCCGCGGUAAUACGGAGGAUGCGAGCGUUAUCCGGAUUCAUGGGGUUUAAAGGGUGCGCAGGCGGGCCUUUAAGCCGGCGGUGAAAUCGCGGGGCUCAACCCCGCCGGGUCGUCGGAACUGGGGGCCGUGAGUGCUGCAUUUCAAACUGGAAGUCUAGAGUGCAGGAGAGGAGAAUGGAAGUCCUGGUGGAGCGGUGAAAUGCGUAGAGAUUAGGAAGAACACCAGUGGCGAAGGCGAUUCUCUGGACUGUAACUGACGCUGAGGCUCGAAAGCGUGGGGAGCAAACAGGAUUAGAUACCCCUGUAGUC